UACGUAGGGGGCAAGCGUUGUCCGGAAUCAUUGGGCGUAAGAGCGUGUAGGCGGCUCGGUAAGUCCGCUGUGAAAGUCCAGGGCUCAACCCUGGAAUGCCGGUGGAAACUGUCGGGCUAGAGUCCGGAAGAGGCGAGUGGAAUUCCUGGUGUAGCGGUGAAAUGCGCAGAUAUCAGGAGGAACACCAAUGGCGAAGGCAGCUCGCUGGGACGGUACUGAGCUGAGACGCGAAAGCUAGGGGAGCAAACGGG
rnacentral:rRNA from 1 species